rnacentral:rRNA from 1 species
UACGUAGGGUGCAAGCGUUGUCCGGAAUUAUUGGGCGUAAAGAGCUCGUAGGCGGUCUGUCGCGUCGGAUGUGAAAACCCAGGGCUCAACCCUGGGCCUGCAUUCGAUACGGGCAGACUAGAGUUCGGUAGGGGAGACUGGAAUUCCUGGUGUAGCGGUGAAAUGCGCAGAUAUCAGGAGGAACACCGGUGGCGAAGGCGGUGCUCUGGGCCAGUACUGACGCUGAGGAGCGAAAGCGUGGGGAGCAAACAGG